rnacentral:rRNA from 1 species
AUUGAACGCUGGCGGCAUGCCUUACACAUGCAAGUCGAACGGUAACAGGUCUUCGGCUGCUGCCGAGUGGCGAACGGGUGAGUAAUACAUCGGAACGUGCCCAGACGUGGGGGAUAACGAGGCGAAAGCUUUGCUAAUACCGCAUACGAUCUAAGGAUGAAAGCAGGGGACCGCAAGGCCUUGUGCGUUUGGAGCGGCCGAUGGCAGAUUAGGUAGUUGGUGGGAUAAAAGCUUACCAAGCCGACGAUCUGUAGCUGGUCUGAGAGGACGACCAGCCACACUGGGACUGAGACACGGCCCAGACUCCUACGGGAGGCAGCAGUGGGGAAUUUUGGACAAUGGGCGAAAGCCUGAUCCAGCAAUGCCGCGUGCAGGAUGAAGGCCUUCGGGUUGUAAACUGCUUUUGUACGGAACGAAAAGGCUCUGGCUAAUACCUGGGGCACAUGACGGUACCGUAAGAAUAAGCACCGGCUAACUACGUG